rnacentral:rRNA from 1 species
GAUCCUGGCUCAGGAUGAACGCUAGCUACAGGCUUAACACAUGCAAGUCGAGGGGCAGCAUGUUGGUUGCUUGCAACCAAUGAUGGCGACCGGCGCACGGGUGAGUAACGCGUAUCCAACCUUCCGCAUACUCGGGAAUAGCCUUUCGAAAGAAAGAUUAAUGCCCGAUGGUUUCCCGAAUCCGCAUGAGAACGGGAAUAAAGAUUCAUCGGUAUGCGACGGGGAUGCGUCCCAUUAG